rnacentral:lncRNA from 1 species
ACAAGAUUAAAAUCUCCACAGAUAAUAAAACACUCAUUUUCAAAAUCAUCAAUAAUUGACAUAAUAUGCUCAUAAAAAAAUGGACUGUCAGUAUUUGGGCCAUAUAUAGUUAUGAGAGUAAAACGAACUUUAUCUACAACCAAAUCCAAAGCUAAGUAGUUUCCAUCAAUGUCCCUUUUUUCUUUAAGUACUUUCCACUCAAAAUUAUUUUUAAACAUAAUAGCUACACCUCUUGAAUUUGAAGAAAAGGAUGAAAAGUAGCAUUCAUAUCCCCAUAACGUUCUUAUACUAUUUUCUUUUAUCCACUGUGAAAUGAGUGUCUUGAAGACAAUAAAUGUUAUGGUUUCCAGAUUUUAGAAAACUAAAUACAUCCCUCCUUUUAGAUAAAUCACCCAGACCCUGACAGUUAACAGACAGUAUCUUUAAAGAGCCCAUAAUGGUUUGAAAUAUGUGUACAUCAUCAUUUCAUAUAGGCAUGCAUUUUUACAUAUGAUCAUCCAUAUUAUACAUUCACAUGAGACACAAAGACAUAUACGCAAAGAUUUGCUCAAAACAUCUAGAUAUGGUGGUAUAAAAAUUCUCAACAUACAUGUAUUACCAAG